rnacentral:rRNA from 1 species
GGCGGCGUGCCUAACACAUGCAAGUCGAACGAGAAAGUGGAGCAAUCCAUGAGUAAAGUGGCGACCGGGUGAGUAACACGUGACUAACCUACCUUCGAGUGGGGGAUAACCUCGGGAAACCGAGGCUAAUACCGCAUAACAUCGCAAGAUCAAAGCAGCAAUGCGCUGGAAGAGGGGGUCGCGGCUGAUUAGCUAGUUGGCGGGGUAACGGCCCACCAAGGCGAAGAUCGGUAGCCGGCCUGAGAGGGCGCACGGCCACACUGGAACUGAAACACGGUCCAGACUCCUACGGGAGGCAGCAGUGGGGAAUUUUGCGCAAUGGGGGAAACCCUGACGCAGCAACGCCGCGUGGAGGAUGAAGCCCCUUGGGGCGUAAACUCCUUUCGACCAAGACGAUAAUGACGGUACUGGUGGAAGAAGCACCGGCUAACUCUGUGCCANGCAGCCCGGGCCGGGGG